rnacentral:rRNA from 1 species
GACGAACGCUGGCGGCGUGCUUAACACAUGCAAGUCGAACGGAAAGGCCCUGCUUUUGUGGGGUGCUCGAGUGGCGAACGGGUGAGUAACACGUGAGUAACCUGCCCUUGACUUUGGGAUAACUUCAGGAAACUGGGGCUAAUACCGGAUAGGAGCUCCUGCUGCAUGGUGGGGGUUGGAAAGUUUCGGCGGUUGGGGAUGGACUCGCGGCUUAUCAGCUUGUUGGUGGGGUAGUGGCUUACCAAGGCUUUGACGGGUAGCCGGCCUGAGAGGGUGACCGGCCACAUUGGGACUGGGAUACGGCCCAGACUCCUACGGGAGGCAGCAGUGGGGAAUAUUGCACAAUGGGCGGAAGCCUGAUGCAGCAACGCCGCGUGCGGGAUGACGGCCUUCGGGUUGUACACCGCUUUCGCCUGUGACGAAGCGUGAGUGACGGUAAUGGGUAAAGAAGCACCGGCUAACUACGUG